rfam:Gossypium raimondii chromosome 6, whole genome shotgun sequence.
GGGUGCGAUUAGACCAGCACUAAUGCACCGGAUCUCAUCAGAACUUCGUAAUUAACCGUGCUUGGGCAAGCUUUAUAUAAACAGAUUGCGCAAGAGUUGACCGGUGCUUGUGUUGCACCCC